GGAGAGAUGGUCGAGUGGUUGAAGGCUCCGGUCUUGAAAACCGGCGAUAUGCGAGUAUCCGUGGGUUCGAAUCCCACUCUCUCCGCCA
rnacentral:tRNA from 1 species